AUAUUCUCUUGUGUUGUUUUGUGCUAGGAUUAUAUCAAGAUGCCGAGACGUUGUGAAUUAGGAUGUGAACCUUCUGGUGCUCCACUCCAUGUUUUCCCGGAUCCGGCCAAAUAUCCUAA